GAUGAACGCUGGCGGCGUGCCUAAUACAUGCCAGUCGAGCGAACGGACGAGAAGCUUGCUUCUCUGAUGUUAGCGGCGGACGGGUGAGUAACACGUGGAUAACCUACCUAUAAGACUGGGAUAACUCCGGGAAACCGGAGCUAAUACCGGAUAAUAUUUUGAACCGCAUGGUUCAAAAGUGAAAGACGGUCUUGCUGUCACUUAUAGAUGGAUCCGCGCUGCAUUAGCUAGUUGGUAAGGUAACGGCUUACCAAGGCAACGAUGCAUAGCCGACCUGAGAGGGUGAUCGGCCACACUGGAACUGAGACACGGUCCAGACUCCUACGGGAGGCAGCAGUAGGGAAUCUUCCGCAAUGGGCGAAAGCCUGACGGAGCAACGCCGCGUGAGUGAUGAAGGUCUUCGGAUCGUAAAACUCUGUUAUUAGGGAAGAACAUAUGUGUAAGUAACUGUGCACAUCUUGACGGUACCUAAUCAGAAAGCCACGGCUAACUACGUG
rnacentral:rRNA from 1 species